rnacentral:lncRNA from 1 species
GGGGGAGGGGAGGGAGUCACCAUGCCCGCCGGAAACCCCCCGCUGAGUCGUCCGCCCUGCACCUGCCUCGGAGCCCAUGGUUCGGACGUUUGCCCGAGCCGUUUCCCGGGGCCUUCCCUCCAGCUCCGAGCGUCUGGCCGUGUCCGCGGCGAUAGCAUCGCCCCGUUACGGCCUCUGCGGGAGGGGGAACUGAGGGGACGACGCGGGCUCUGGAAACAUUUCGGACCCGUUUCGGGCAGGCAUGAGUCUUCCGAGCGCCUUGUGAUUCCUCGGGGGGCUCAACGUCGAAAGAAAGGCGAGGGAGACUCUGGGGCCUGGGCCACGCUGUGCGGGAGUAAGAGGAGCCGAGGACGAGGCUGACGGCCGUGAAACUAGCCGAGUGCCACAAAGGACCUUCCCCUCACCGCCUCUGGCGCUCCUUUCCUUGCAGCCUGGAGGGCCGGCUCUGGCUCUGCGCAGGCGCGCGGGCGCAGCCCCUCUCCCAACUCUUGUUUGCUCUUUCUGGCCAGCGACCCCAGUGUGGGGCACGCGGGAGAGCCCCACAUUUCUUCUAGUCGCAGUCCCGCCGGCGUGGGGUGGCCCCUGACCGUGCAACGGGCGCAAGGCUCGCACCCACUACGGCCCCUCGGGCGGCGGAGCGAGGCUCCGCGAACCCGGGACUGGGCGCGCCAGGCCCGCGCGCUGAGGCCCCCUCCCCCGGCUCUGGCCACGCGGGCUGCUCUGCCUCUGUGAGUGUGCGGGACACAGAGCCAGGGGGAGGGAGGGCCGUGUUCUGCGGUCACAGGCAGACAGGAGUGCCGGAAGAUGCAGUCUGGAGCCCCCGGGGGACUACGGUUCCGGCCCAGCAGCAGCCGCCAUCCCCACGUUGGGUGGCGAGAUCCGAAAGUUUCCAGCUACGAACAGUUUGCUUUUUUUUUUUCCUUGAUCGCUUUUUUUGGCAAGGGCGGAGAGCACCAGUAGCGUGGGGGGUUUAAAUGCACUUUCCCUGAAUGCAACAGAGAAAUGCCGGGCUGGAGGGCAAACUCCACCGGGACAGGGAGGCGGGAGAUAGCCUGAGCGCCCCCCCAUCCCCCACACUCUGAGCGUCGCAACCCCGGGGGCACCUCCAGGGACUACUUGCCUUGUGCGUCAGCGAGUGACAGCGUCACACACACGCCCCCUCCCGCACAUGCCCGCUGCACCCUCCCUUUCCCCCUCCCCUUCCCUUCUCUCUUUUCCCCUAGCUCUUCCCACCAGGCAGAGAGGCUCAGCCGACCCACACGCUCCCAGAGCACUGAAAGCUAAAAAUAUAGCCGGUGUGUUAGCAACAGCCUUCCCAUUGGUCGGGGGAAAGGGAGAAGCGGUGUCUGAUUGGGUUUAGGAUCCAGCCGCUAAGACUGGGCCCUUGGGAGUGUGCGUUUGCGCCAGCGGGCACGGCAAGGGAUGCUGGUAUUUGUAGUCAUUGAUUAAGGCAGCCAUGUAAAUAGGUGGGUUUACAUCCCAGUUCGGCUACCGACUGUGUGAUCUUGAUUUAAUGCAGCAAAACGCUUGACAUCACCAAACCUCAGUUUCCCCAUCUAUAAAAUGGAGCUCGUGUCGGGGAUUAAAUAUGAUGCUGUAUGUAAAGCCUGGCUCAAAUCGUUGCUAUUCUUAAUUUAAAGAUUAGUGUUUGGGCCAAAUUGCCUCUGCACAUCCUGCAUAUCCUGGGCUGAGUAUGGUGUCCACUCUCCAAUGUGAAACUUCUGACAAUGGUAAAGGUGAAGGUGAGCUGAAGCGAGUUGUCCUACGGCAUCUUAGGAGGAACAGCUGGAGUACAUAUAAGCAGUUAGAGGGUAGACGUCUUCUACCAUUCCGGACAGGUUGAGGGAGGGCGGACUGAAUCCUUGGAAGGAAGGCCAUGAGUUUCUGCAUGUUUGUGCGUUUAAUAGAAUCUCUUCUGCAACGCUGGAAAGACAUCAGCCCUGAGUAGCAUCAUUAGAAUGAAAUGAGAAAUCCAGCCUCCUUGGUGGGAGCUCUGGGUAAAAGGUUAGCAUAUAAGUAGGAAAAGAUAAAAUCGAGGGGAAAAAACGUAACCGC